rnacentral:rRNA from 1 species
UACGUAGGGUGCGAGCGUUAAUCGGAAUUACUGGGCGUAAAGCGUGUGUAGGCGGCCACGUAAGUCGGAUGUGAAAGCCCCAGGCUCAACCUGGGAAGUGCACUCGAUACUGCGUGGCUUGAGUAUCGGAGAGGUUGGUGGAAUUCUCGGUGUAGAGGUGAAAUUCGUAGAUAUCGAGAGGAACACCGGUGGCGAAGGCGGCCAACUGGACGAAUACUGACGCUGAGACACGAAAGCGUGGGGAGCAAACAGG